CACUCCGGUGGCCUAGUGGUUAGAGCGUCCGCCUCGGAUGCGGGAGGUCGUGGGUUCGAUCCCCGGUUGAGUCA